rnacentral:rRNA from 1 species
ACGUAGGAGGCGAGCGUUAUCCGGAUUUACUGGGCGUAAAGCGCACGUAGGCGGACUCUUAAGUCGGGGGUGAAAUCCUGGAGCUCAACUCCAGAACUGCCUUCGAUACUGAGAGCCUUGAGUCCGGGAGAGGUGAGUGGAACUGCGAGUGUAGAGGUGAAAUUCGUAGAUAUUCGCAAGAACACCAGUGGCGAAGGCGGCUCACUGGCCCGGUACUGACGCUGAGGUGCGAAAGCGUGGGGAGCAAACAG